UAAUCUCCCUUCGGACUUUGAUGUGAUCGUAAUAGGGACGGGUUUGCCUGAAUCCAUCAUUGCAGCUGCAUGUUCAAGGAGUGGCCAGAGGGUUCUGCAUGUUGAUUCAAGAAGCUACUAUGGAGGAAACUGGGCCAGUUUCAGCUUUUCAGGACUGUUGUCCUGGCUAAAGGAAGGAAAAUAAUGAUGUUGUGACUGAAAAUUCAAUGUGGCAAGAACAGAUACUUGAAAACGAAGAAGCUAUUCCUCUUAGUAGCAAGGACAAAACAAUUCAACAUGUAGAAGUAUUUUGUUAUGCCAGGUAUGAAAAUCAUUUCUGUAGCAUUCAAUAAGAAAACAGCUCUUUCCUUCUUUCCACGCUUCUUCAGUAAUAAGGAUGCUGCUAUAGUGAA
rnacentral:lncRNA from 1 species